UUAAGCGACUAAGCGUACACGGUGGAUGCCCUGGCAGUCAGAGGCGAUGAAGGACGUGCUAAUCUGCGAUAAGCGUCGGUAAGGUGAUAUGAACCGUUAUAACCGGCGAUUUCCGAAUGGGGAAACCCAGUGUGUUUCGACACACUAUCAUUAACUGAAUCCAUAGGUUAAUGAGGCGAACCGGGGGAACUGAAACAUCUAAGUACCCCGAGGAAAAGAAAUCAACCGAGAUUCCCCCAGUAGCGGCGAGCGAACGGGGAGGAGCCCAGAGCCUGAAUCAGUGUGUGUGUUAGUGGAAGCGUCUGGAAAGGCGCGCGAUACAGGGUGACAGCCCCGUACACAAAAAUGCACAUGCUGUGAGCUCGAUGAGUAGGGCGGGACACGUGGUAUCCUGUCUGAAUAUGGGGGGACCAUCCUCCAAGGCUAAAUACUCCUGACUGACCGAUAGUGAACCAGUACCGUGAGGGAAAGGCGAAAAGAACCCCGGCGAGGGGAGUGAAAAAGAACCUGAAACCGUGUACGUACAAGCAGUGGGAGCACAGAGCAAUCUGUGUGACUGCGUACCUUUUGUAUAAUGGGUCAGCGACUUAUAUUCUGUAGCAAGGUUAACCGAAUAGGGGAGCCGAAGGGAAACCGAGUCUUAACUGGGCGUUAAGUUGCAGGGUAUAGACCCGAAACCCGGUGAUCUAGCCAUGGGCAGGUUGAAGGUUGGGUAACACUAACUGGAGGACCGAACCGACUAAUGUUGAAAAAUUAGCGGAUGACUUGUGGCUGGGGGUGAAAGGCCAAUCAAACCGGGAGAUAGCUGGUUCUCCCCGAAAGCUAUUUAGGUAGCGCCUCGUGAAUUCAUCUCCGGGGGUAGAGCACUGUUUCGGCAAGGGGGUCAUCCCGACUUACCAACCCGAUGCAAACUGCGAAUACCGGAGAAUGUUAUCACGGGAGACACACGGCGGGUGCUAACGUCCGUCGUGAAGAGGGAAACAACCCAGACCGCCAGCUAAGGUCCCAAAGUCAUGGUUAAGUGGGAAACGAUGUGGGAAGGCCCAGACAGCCAGGAUGUUGGCUUAGAAGCAGCCAUCAUUUAAAGAAAGCGUAAUAGCUCACUGGUCGAGUCGGCCUGCGCGGAAGAUGUAACGGGGCUAAACCAUGCACCGAAGCUGCGGCAGCGACACUGUGUGUUGUUGGGUAGGGGAGCGUUCUGUAAGCCUGUGAAGGUGUGCUGUGAGGCAUGCUGGAGGUAUCAGAAGUGCGAAUGCUGACAUAAGUAACGAUAAAGCGGGUGAAAAGCCCGCUCGCCGGAAGACCAAGGGUUCCUGUCCAACGUUAAUCGGGGCAGGGUGAGUCGACCCCUAAGGCGAGGCCGAAAGGCGUAGUCGAUGGGAAACAGGUUAAUAUUCCUGUACUUGGUGUUACUGGCGAAGGGGGGACGGAGAAGGCUAUGUUGGCCGGGCGACGGUUGUCCCGGUUUAAGCGUGUAGGCUGGUUUUCCAGGCAAAUCCGGAAAAUCAAGGCUGAGGCGUGAUGACGAGGCACUACGGUGCUGAAGCAACAAAUGCCCUGCUUCCAGGAAAAGCCUCUAAGCAUCAGGUAACAUCAAAUCGUACCCCAAACCGACACAGGUGGUCAGGUAGAGAAUACCAAGGCGCUUGAGAGAACUCGGGUGAAGGAACUAGGCAAAAUGGUGCCGUAACUUCGGGAGAAGGCACGCUGAUAUGUAGGUGAAGUCCCUCGCGGAUGGAGCUGAAAUCAGUCGAAGAUACCAGCUGGCUGCAACUGUUUAUUAAAAACACAGCACUGUGCAAACACGAAAGUGGACGUAUACGGUGUGACGCCUGCCCGGUGCCGGAAGGUUAAUUGAUGGGGUCAGCGCAAGCGAAGCUCUUGAUCGAAGCCCCGGUAAACGGCGGCCGUAACUAUAACGGUCCUAAGGUAGCGAAAUUCCUUGUCGGGUAAGUUCCGACCUGCACGAAUGGCGUAAUGAUGGCCAGGCUGUCUCCACCCGAGACUCAGUGAAAUUGAACUCGCUGUGAAGAUGCAGUGUACCCGCGGCAAGACGGAAAGACCCCGUGAACCUUUACUAUAGCUUGACACUGAACAUUGAGCCUUGAUGUGUAGGAUAGGUGGGAGGCUUUGAAGUGUGGACGCCAGUCUGCAUGGAGCCGACCUUGAAAUACCACCCUUUAAUGUUUGAUGUUCUAACGUGGACCCGUGAUCCGGGUUGCGGACAGUGUCUGGUGGGUAGUUUGACUGGGGCGGUCUCCUCCUAAAGAGUAACGGAGGAGCACGAAGGUUGGCUAAUCCUGGUCGGACAUCAGGAGGUUAGUGCAAUGGCAUAAGCCAGCUUGACUGCGAGCGUGACGGCGCGAGCAGGUGCGAAAGCAGGUCAUAGUGAUCCGGUGGUUCUGAAUGGAAGGGCCAUCGCUCAACGGAUAAAAGGUACUCCGGGGAUAACAGGCUGAUACCGCCCAAGAGUUCAUAUCGACGGCGGUGUUUGGCACCUCGAUGUCGGCUCAUCACAUCCUGGGGCUGAAGUAGGUCCCAAGGGUAUGGCUGUUCGCCAUUUAAAGUGGUACGCGAGCUGGGUUUAGAACGUCGUGAGACAGUUCGGUCCCUAUCUGCCGUGGGCGCUGGAGAACUGAGGGGGGCUGCUCCUAGUACGAGAGGACCGGAGUGGACGCAUCACUGGUGUUCGGGUUGUCAUGCCAAUGGCACUGCCCGGUAGCUAAAUGCGGAAGAGAUAAGUGCUGAAAGCAUCUAAGCACGAAACUUGCCCCGAGAUGAGUUCUCCCUGACCCUUUAAGGGUCCUGAAGGAACGUUGAAGACGACGACGUUGAUAGGCCGGGUGUGUAAGCGCAGCGAUGCGUUGAGCUAACCGGUACUAAUGAACCGUGAGGCUUAACCUU
rnacentral:rRNA from 1 species